rnacentral:tRNA from 5 species
GGGCUCGAAGUGUAACGGUCUGCACGACUCCUUGUCAAGGAGUAGGCAGCGGGUUCAACUCCCGUCGAGCCCG